GACGAACGCUGACGGCGUGCCUAAUACAUGCCAGUUGAGCGCUGAAGGUUGGUACUUGUACCAACUGGAUGAGCAGCGAACGGGUGAGUAACGCGUGGGGAAUCUGCCUUUGAGCGGGGGACAACAUUUGGAAACGAAUGCUAAUACCGCAUAAAAACUUUAAACACAAGUUUUAAGUUUGAAAGAUGCAAUUGCAUCACUCAAAGAUGAUCCCGCGUUGUAUUAGCUAGUUGGUGAGGUAAAGGCUCACCAAGGCGAUGAUACAUAGCCGACCUGAGAGGGUGAUCGGCCACAUUGGGACUGAGACACGGCCCAAACGUCUAAGGGAGGCAGCAGGAGGGAAUCUUCGGGAAUGGAGGAAAGGCUGACCGAGCAACGCCGCGUGAGUGAAGAAGGGUUUCGGAUCGUAAAACUCUGUUGGUAGAGAAGAAAGAUGGUGAGAGUGGAAAGCGCAUCAAGUGACGGUAACUAACCAGAAAGGGACGGCUAACUACGUG
rnacentral:rRNA from 1 species